UACGUAGGGGGCAAGCGUUGUCCGGAUUUAUUGGGCGUAAAGAGCGUGUAGGCGGUUUGGUAGGUCCGCUGUGAAAACUCGAGGCUCAACCUCGAGACGCCGGUGGAAACCAUCAGACUUGAGUCCGGAAGAGGAGAGUGGAAUUCCUGGUGUAGCGGUGAAAUGCGCAGAUAUCAGGAAGAACACCCGUGGCUAAGGCGGCUCUCUAGUACGGUACUGACGCUGAGACGCGAAAGCGUGGGGAGCGAACAGG
rnacentral:rRNA from 1 species